rnacentral:piRNA from 2 species
UGUGCAGAGUGAUGGUCUCACCCAUC